GAGUUUGAUCCUGGCUCAGGACGAACGCUGGCGGCGUGCUUAACACAUGCAAGUCUACUUGAACGCUCUGCUUGCAGAGAACUAUGGUGGCGAACGGGUGAGUAACGCGUAGACAAUCUGCCCCUUUCAGUGGGAUAAUCUCGGGAAACUGGGUCUAAUACCACAUAACAUCUUUUCACGGCAUCGUGAGAAGAUUAAAGAUUUUAAAUCGGUGAGGGAUGAGUCUGCGUACCAUUAGCUAGUUGGUGGGGUAAUAGCCUACCAAGGCAUCGAUGGUUAGCUGGUCUGAGAGGAUGAUCAGCCACACUGGGACUGAGAUACGGCCCAGACUCCUACGGGAGGCAGCAGUGAGGAAUAUUGCACAAUGGGGGCAACCCUGAUGCAGCAACGCCGCGUGUACGAUGAAUCAGUUUAUCUGUGUAAAGUACUGUUAAUUGGGACGAAUUAUAGGGUUUGUAGCCUUAUUUGACUGUACCAGUAGAGGAAGCUCCGGCUAACUCCGUGCCAGCAGCCGCGGUAAUACGGGGGGAGCGAGCGUUGUCCGGAUUUAUUGGGGCGUAAAGGGUAUG
rnacentral:rRNA from 1 species